CACCUUUCCAGAUGUACGUUUUCUCUGUGAGUAGGCCUAGGCUUCUGUGAGUGGACCAGGCCUCCGUAAUGACCAGUGUGUGUUGUGAGAUUACAAGGCGAGGUGAGCUUUUCUGGGUGUUUGGUUUAAUUAACAGAAGGGUUCACCACCAUGUCGGAACACAUGUGCCUCCUGAUCUUGUCCACCCUAAUUCAACACUGGCAGCUCCACAGAAAGCACAGAAUCUGAGGUCUUUCCUGGUGGCUACUGAAUGAACUGGCCAUCAUGACUCACUGGACUUACCCCUCCUCCUAACUAUGGAAUGAAAAUGUGAAGUUCUUGUGAGGAUUUUUCAGAAUCUGUCUUUAUCCUGAAUGUGCACUCCCCUUGAUGCAAAAUUUUAGGUAUUUAUCUUUUAAAGCACAAAUAUCUCUAGUCAGUAGGAGUACCAUAACAUUAUAUAAAUACAAAUUGAUGUUGUAUGCACAGAAAAUCUGUUAAGAAAAGCCUCCAUGCUCAUGAUUGACCUUCUGAUUAAACAACA